GUGCUUGCUUUGGCAGCACAUAUACUAAAAUUGGAACAAUACAAACAUUAGCAUGGCCCCUGAGCAAGGAGGACACACAAAUUCGUGGAGCCUUCCAUAUUUUU